CGAAGGGUGCAAGCGUUACUCGGAAUUACUGGGCGUAAAGCGUGCGUAGGUGGUUCGUUAAGUCUGAUGGGAAAGCCCUGGGCUCAACCUGGGAAUGGCAUUGGAUACUGGCGACCUAGAGUGCGGUAGAGGGUGUGGAAUUCCCGGUGUAGCAGUGAAAUGCGUAGAUAUCGGGAGGAACAUCUGUGGCGAAGGCGACACCCUGGACCAGCACUGACACUGAGGCACGAAAGCGUGGGGAGCAAACAGGAUUAGAUACCCUGGUAGUCCACGCCCUAAACGAUGCGAACUGGAUGUUGGGUGCAACUUGGCACUCAGUAUCGAAGCUAACGCGUUAAGUUCGCCGCCUGGGAAGUACGGUCGCAAGACUG
rnacentral:rRNA from 1 species